AUAAAUGUUGCAUACUGUGAUUUAUAACUGCUGUUAAGAGUAUUUUUAUUUGUGUUCAUUAACGUUGGACUGUGACUAUUUUUGUUUCGGUAGACAUCGACGAGUGUGCAAAUGAUCCGUGCCAGAAUGGAGCCACGUGCAACAACCUUAUCAACGUCUACACGUGCACAUGUGCGUCCGGGUAUGGGGGACUCAACUGUGACCAAGACAUUGACGAAUGUGCAAGUGAUCCGUGCCAGAAUGGUAGCGGGUGCAUUGAUUUUAUCAACGGGUACUACUGUUUGUGUGCGGCCGGAUAUGAGGAACCCGACUGUCAAUUUGAACUAAAAAACGAAAACUUAAAUUACUUCGAACUCGGAAGAUAAGUGCAGACCAGACGAUCAGUGUCUUCUUUUGAUUGAAAAAGAUGGAAACUGCUUUUUCCGGUGUAUUGCGGCUGGAAUAUUCGAUGAUCCCGAUACACAUGAACUUGUAAGAACUUCUGUAACUAAUCACACGCUGGACAACGAAUCCACUUACAAGAACUAUAUUGAUGGUGAUUACGGUGUGCACAUAACCUGCAUGAAACAAAGCGAUCGCAACUCUCGCUUUUGGGCUACAGAGGCGGAAAUAUUAGCGGCUCCAACAUUAUACGACGUAGACAUAUACGUGAAACAAUACAGCAAUGGAUGCUUAAGUUGGCUGCGAUUUUCUGUCGAAAGAGAAUCGCGAAACCGAAAUGUCAUUUAUAUGCGGCUUGAACACCAGCACUUUGACUUUAUUCGGCAGCAUGAAAGACCUACGUCCGUGAUUACAAAAGAAACAACACUCUCCUCGGAGGAAAUGCAGACCACACGGUGCAUGGCAACAACAAAGACGAAACAUGACGAAAACAAAAUGAGUGUUGUUACCAACCUGUCAAAGAAGACGUUAACUGAUGCUCAAAUAUCCCUGCUGUCGAAAGGACUGAAGUUCAUACCGACUAGAAAAACAAUAGACAAAGGAAAAUUACUGACACACUUGUCAGCGUGGGAACGCCGUAUGCGCUUAAAAGAAUAUUUCUAUGCAGAAGACGCUGAACAUAGAACCACGGAAGAUGAGCAUCAAUACAAAAAGAAGACCUCGACGUGGACUCCAAAGGCUGGCCGCGACAAAUGGUUUGACAAAUAUAUACAAGCGGUCAAAGACGACAUCAUUUGCGGAUUAAAACGAAACUUUAAAUUUAAUCUAAGCAAAUCGGAAGAAUAGGCAAUCAAAGAAUUACUCCACGACGACAACAUCGUUAUUCGGCAUGCCGACAAGGGGUCGGGGAUAGUGAUAAUGGACAGGGAAGACUAUGUCAAAAAGCUGAAGUGUGAAAUGUCGGACAGUAACACAUACGUCGACGUGACGGAUGAUAGAACAAGAAUAAUGGAUUACAAAGUGAAAAAUGUGACCGACACUCUUUACAAGAAGGGGUCGAUCGACAGUGACCUAAGAAGGUAUCUCACCAGCAGCGGUGGGACUUCCGGUAAGCUUCAGGGCAACCCGAAGCUUCAUAAACCUGGGAUGCCUCUCCGCACUAGUGUAAACGGCUGUAAUCACCCGACAGAGAAGAUGGCGGAAAUAGUGAAGAAAAAACUGCGCGAUCAUGUGACGUCACUUCCGUCGUAUGUGAGAGACACAACCGACUAUCUAAACAAAAUAGCACAGAUACAGCAGCCGUUACCAGACGGUACCAUCAUAUAUUGUUUGAAUGUAAAGGCUCUUUACCCCUGCGUACCAAGAGAAGAGGCCCGUGCUGCAGUAACUGAAGCUCUCUAUCGGCGAGUGCAACCGGAAGUUCCAGCCAACGACAUGAUUAUAAUGAUGGACACUGUCCUAGAUAACAACACCAUUUCAUUCAAUGGAGACCACUACAUGCAAAAUGAAGGAACUGCCAUAGGAUCGCACUAAGGUAUGAACUACGCGUCGACCUACAUUGGAGCCUGGGAGAAAGAAUUAUUUUCGAAAUCAAAUAAACAUCCAAUAGCUUACUUCCGGUUCGUUGAUGAUGUUUGGGGCUUGUGGACACAUGGUUUAAAGGCACUAAAGACAUUCCACGCGUUUGCAAAUACAAUCCAUUCACGGAUACAGCUCGAGCUCCGCUACUCCACAGAGCAGCUCGAAUUCCUAGACACGUUGACGUCAAUUCGAACAGGAAGGCUGGUUUCAGACUUAUACACCAAUCCAGCAGAUAGGCACCUCUACCUGCACAAGGACUCGUCUCAUACCGAGUCUACGAAAAAGGCCAUUCCGUACGGCUUAGGUGUGAGGCUGAAACGAAUAUGUUCGGAAGAGACAGACUACAAAAAACACAGAGAUGAAAUCAAAGAACAACUACUGCAGCGAGGAUACAAUGGCCGAUUCGUCGAGACAGAACUGAAGAAAGUUGAUAGCAAGAAGCGAGAAGAUCUGCUGCGUACAGAGGUGUCUUCAAAAAGUACUUCCAGGGUACCGCUCGUUAUCACUUUCUCCAGAGCGCUACCAAAUGUCGGCCAUAUCCUCCGGAAACAUCUGCCCACACUCCACACUUCCGAUCGUAUGAAAAAUGUAUUUCCUGAACCCCCGUUAGCAGCAUUCAGAAGAGACUGCAACCUGGAAGACAUAUUGGUUCAUAAAAAACACAACCGAAUGUUUUUCCUUGUUUUAAACAGGAGCGGACCUAUCGGGGCGCAGAGGUGCACAAACUGUCCGUACAUGAUGGAGGCCGAAAGGUUAAGCGAUACCACCGGCAAAAGCUAAAAUGUGCGGAACGAGGUCACCUGCAAAUCCACCAAUGUAGUCUACGCUGUACACUGCGAACGAUGUAAGACCUGUGUAUACGUAGGGGAAACGGGAGAUACCCUGUACCAGCGAAAUCUCCUUAACAUGUCCCGGAUACGAACUCGACACAAUGACCAGGUUGCCGAGCACUUUUACACGAACGGCCACACGAUUUUAAAUAAUCGUGGAAACUAUUUGGUGAGUUUAUUUUAAAGUGAAAUAUAAAAAUUGGUAUCAAAAUUGUAAUGAUAUGCACAACGCCAAUCAGACAACAUAGACAAUUGAAGAGCAACUUAAAACAACGCCUAACAGACUACAUAGACACUUGAAGAGCAACUGAAAACAACGCCUAACAGACUACAUAGACACUUGAAGAGCAACUGAAAACAACGCCUAACAGACUUCAUAGACGCUUGAAGAGCAACUGAAAACUACGCCUCACAGACUACAUAGACACUUCAAGAGCAACUGAAAACAACGUCUAACAGACUACAUAGACACUUGAAGAGCAUCUGAAAACAACGCCUAACAGACUUCAUAGACACCUGAAGAGCAACUGAAAACAACGCCUAACAGACUACAUAGACACUUGAAGAGCAACUGAAAAGAACGCCUUGCAUAUAACAUAGACACUUGAAGAGCAACUGAAAACAACGCCUAACAGACUACAUAGACACUUGAAGAGCAACUGAAAACAACGCCUAACAGACUACAUAUAAACUUGAAGAGCAACUGAAAACAACGCCUAACAUACUAUAUAGACACUCGAAGAGCAACUGAAAACAACGCCUAACAGACUUCAUAGACACUUGAAAUGCAACUGAAAACAACACCUAACAGACUAUAUAUACACUUGAAGAGCAACUGAAAACAACGCCUAACAGUCGACAUAGACACUUGAAAAGCAGCUGAAAACAACGCCUUACAGACUACAUAGACACUUGAAGAGCAACUGAAAACAACGCCUCACAGACUACAUAGACACUUGAAGAGCAACUGAAAACAACCCCUAACAGACUACAUAAACACUUGAAGAGCAAAUGAAAACAACGCUUUACAGACUACAUAAACACUUCAAGAGCAACUGAAAACAACGCCUUACAUACUACGUAGACACUUGAAGAGCAACUGAAAACAGCGCCUUACAGACUACAUAGACACAUUGAAGAGCACUUGAUAUCAACGUCUAACAGACUACAUAGACACUUGAAGAGCAACUGAAAACAACGCCUUACAGACUACAUAGACACUUGAAGAGCAACUGAAAACAACGCCUAUCACACUACAUAGACACUUGAUGAGCAACUGAAAACCUGUUGCGCGCACUGAUUGUCAUGCAUACGAACAUUUUGAUUUGUUUUCAUAACUUGAUUAAAUGAUAUGAAUUCAGUAA